rnacentral:rRNA from 1 species
UUGGUCUACGGGGCGCAGCAGUGGGGGAUAUUGCACAAUGGGGGAAACCCUGAUGCAGCGACGCCGCGUGGGUGAAGAAGCGCCUCGGCGCGUAAAGCCCUGUCAGCAGGGAGGAAAAUGACGGUACCUGAAGAAGAAGCCCCGGCUAACUACGUGCCAGCAGCCGCGGUAAUACGUAGGGGGCAAGCGUUAUCCGGAUUUACUGGGUGUAAAGGGGGCGCAGACGGCGAUGCAAGCCAGGAGUGAAAGCCCGGGGCCCAACCCCGGGACUGCUCUUGGAACUGCGUGGCUAGAGAGCAGGAGGG